rnacentral:rRNA from 1 species
AUAGGGGGGAAGGAUAUACAUGCAAGUCGAACGAGCUUCCGUUGAAUGACGUGCUUGCACUGAUUUCAACAAUGAAGCGAGUGGCGAACUGGUGAGUAACACGUGGGAAAUCUGCCCAGAAGCAGGGGAUAACACUUGGAAACAGGUGCUAAUACCGUAUAACAACAAAAUCCGCAUGGAUUUUGUUUGAAAGGUGGCUUCGGCUAUCACUUCUGGAUGAUCCCGCGGCGUAUUAGUUAGUUGGUGAGGUAAAGGCCCACCAAGACGAUGAUACGUAGCCGACCUGAGAGGGUAAUCGGCCACAUUGGGACUGAGACACGGCCCAAACUCCUACGGGAGGCAGCAGUAGGGAAUCUUCCACAAUGGACGAAAGUCUGAUGGAGCAAUGCCGCGUGAGUGAAGAAGGGUUUCGGCUCGUAAAACUCUGUUGUUAAAGAAGAACACCUUUGAGAGUAACUGUUCAAGGGUUGACGGUAUUUAACCAGAAAGCCACGGCUAACUACGUGCCAGCAGCCGCGGUAAUACGUAGGUGGCAAGCGUUGUCCGGAUUUAUUGGGCGUAAAGCGAGCGCAGGCGGUUUUUUAAGUCUGAUGUGAAAGCCUUCGGCUUAACCGGAGAAGUGCAUCGGAAACUGGGAGACUUGAGUGCAGAAGAGGACAGUGGAACUCCAUGUGUAGCGGUGGAAUGCGUAGAUAUAUGGAAGAACACCAGUGGCGAAGGCGGCUGUCUAGUCUGUAACUGACGCUGAGGCUCGAAAGCAUGGGUAGCGAACAGGAUUAGAUACCCUGGUAGUCCAUGCCGUAAACGAUGAGUGCUAAGUGUUGGAGGGUUUCCGCCCUUCAGUGCUGCAGCUAACGCAUUAAGCACUCCGCCUGGGGAGU